GCUAAAUGUUUGACAGGAGGAAGAAUUCUGUGUGAAGCUUGUUGCACCAUUGCAGCACAAUCAAAUAAUGAGGCCACGUUUUGGCUACUGCUUUAGCUUCAAUCAAAGCUGAGGAGGGAAUUUUAAAAAUAUAUUAUCUUUUCUAGAGAGGUCCAGGAUAAUAAUCUUUUAUUAAACAGAAAAACUGCUAAUUAAGAUUCACAUAUAAUAAUGUAAAUGAAUGAAUUCUUGAACGCUCAAAGUUAUUGCCUUGCACUUUAACCUUUAACCCUUCCUGCUCCCCUCUUGUAGUUUUGCACUCCAGAACUAUUCACCCUAACCUAGUGGCUGUCUGGUGCAGGAGUGGGAUUUUUGUUUGUUUGUUUUUUUAAACUCUGGUGGUAAACUAGAGAAAGAGACUAAGUUUGUCAUGAGCAACAUGACUGACACUUUCUAUAUUGUAUCUGAAAUCCAACGCAAUGGUAUAAUUGUGAUUCACCUCACAAAGCCAUAACUGGUCUUAUUGAAGUUUAGGGCUGCUUAGCCACUUAAUGUUAGAUUAGCUUAAAAUAUAUAAAUAUAUAAACAAAAUAUUAAAUGACUUUUCAAAAUCUAAAAGAUUAGAGAAUAUUUUCACUUUAACAUGUUGAAAGUAGAUACUUGAAUCCACAGUUGUAUUAACAAUUUGAGCAAAUUAAAACUCCAUGAAUAUUUGAUUUAUAUUUGAAGUUUAUGUCCAUGAAAAUAACGACUUGCUUGCUUAAAAAAAUACAGAUCAUAAAUCUAUUUUAUAUUCUAUGGUGUGUGUUACUUAGAUAGCAAUCUGAUAGCUUUGGAUAAAAUUAUGUGAGGAUAUUCUGGUGAGAUAAUAAGGGUGCUUUACUUGCCACUCUACCUUAAGGGCCUGAUACAACUCACUCAAGUCCAUAUUAUCCUUACUGGCAAGUCCUCUGAAUUUUGCAUCAUAAUGUCAAUGUCAUUAAAAUCAAGCACUGAUGUCAGCAGAACAUUUUCAAGAAACAUUGAAUUUGAAAUGUGUGUUUUUCCAGGUGGUUUCAUUCCUACGCUGUGACUUUUUAUAACGUAACGCAAAGAUUCAAUCUGAAUUCCUCCAUUGCUAAUCAACUGAUGGAGUUAAUUCAGGUGGGGAUGAUUAUGCACGUGUCUCUGUCAUGGGGAUGGACCUUUAUCUUCUACCUGGGUUCAGAAUGACAGAGAGGAUAAGAUGAACAAGCACUGAGUGGUCCUCGGACCUUUUCAAUAUGAGUUGUCCAGACUUUGUGUGUGUGCGUGUGUGUGUGUGUGUAUUAAACAGUUAGCACCUUUUUUUGUAAUGACUGGAUGUCAGAAAUAGUAACACUUUUGAGUGUUAUGCUGUGGCACAGAAUCAGUUCAUCAGCUGCUUGUUACUCGUUUCAUUAAUGACGUCACAUUGACUGUGUUUACCUGACGAGCUUUGGUGUUGCAAUAUGAUAGUUUAGCACUGCUUUUAACAGUGGGUAUUUUAUAUUUUAUCACACCCUUUACUAUCUGUCUUCCUAUGAUGUGGAAAACACAUAUCUAUCCCGCAGUGUGAGCUAACUGCAACAUGUUUAGAGAGUACAGCAAUACACCAUAUUUAGCUGAUUUUGUUGGCUUGCUGAUAUUUUGAUAUCGAUGUGUCUUCUCGAAAUUGUAUGGCUUUUUUUCCCACUCCCCUUCUUUUAUUAAUUUGCUUUAAAAAAAAUGCUUUUUACAUAUGAUGAAAUCUACACAAAAAAGGUUGAGAAACUUUGUAGACCACAAACAACAUUUAUGGGACAACAAGGCAUAUGUAUGUGUGUUUGUUUCUGUAUUUAGUGCACUUACUAUACCAUGAAAUAGGCUUGAAAUAGGAGUGUUGUUGGAGCUUUCUAGUUACCUGGACUGUGUGUGGUGUGACUUUUGUACCUGGGGAAACAGCAGGCUCAAGUGUCUUCCCUUUGUCAGCAAUGUUAUUUCCAAAACCAAGAUUAUUCCUUAGAAAUUCCCCUAGACAGCUGAAGAAGUUUACACUUUUUAUUUGGUGGUUUGUUUUGUAUGCUACCUAGUUCAAAAGCAGGAAAUGGCAUCCAGCUCUGUUGUUGGGGUCAUUGUGAUGAGUUUUAAGAGAUGAUGUUGUAGCUCAUAACUGUUUAUGGUAUAUAGGUAACAAAUUAAAUGAGACUAAUGAUGUAUUAAAGAUUUCCAUAUCUGAAAUUAAGCUGUAUAGUACCUAACAUUGGAGGAUUCAACACCUCCUUUGAGUCUGAACUGUUACAAUUUUUUCUCCCAAACUUGUUGUAUUACCUGUGCAUUAGUAUCCCUUAACUAAUUAAUAAAAGUUUGUUGACUAAA
ensembl:lncRNA